AAUGGAAAAAAGCCCUCUGGGGGAAUAUUCAGUAUGCAAGAGUAUCGAGUUGCAUGCAGUCAUUAUAAUGAUGUGUAUGCCUCUUUCUUUCUCUUUUUGUCUUUUUCUUUGGAAUGUAUCUACAACACACACACCUAGCUUAGCCUCACACCCACAGAAACGGUGCGGGAGCAGCUCCGGCGUUAAAGAGCUGGUGAUUGGAUGCAGGUUUAUAGGACAAACUGGACAGAAGAAGAAACUUCAGCUGGUUAGUUCUAUACUUCACCUCCGUCUCUGUGAGGGUUACAGAAGUUGGACCAACUUAAAAAAGGGUGCAGGUUUGCUGUGCUCCCAAAGCUAUAAAGCCUUGGCACCCCCACCUCUCUUUCUCCUGCCCGUGGAAGCUCCCCAAACACAGCCACAAUGGGAGAGGACCAUCUUAACGAGAGACCUGGAACCAGAAAACUCUGACAAGGGAAGAGAAAGAAACCAAGAAAAUAAAUGAAUUACCAGGAGAAAACAAGAGUCUACGUUGUGGUAGUUUUUACCAGGUGGAGAUGAUUCAUGUGGGAACAAGGCUUCCAAAGGGACACUGAGGUUGCAGACUUUUGGCUGGACAGGUAAGUCAGUUCUACAUAACUGUGAAUUUUAUUUUGAUUUCCAAUUUAAUGACAUCAUCUGCACCAUGGUGAACCCCACCCUGGACCUGCUGCAGUUUGUGUAUCGACCCAACAUCGGUGUAGAGGACGCCAUCAUCUACCCCCUGCAGCGGGAGCUCACCAACCUGGAGACUGCUGGGAGCACUGUGAGAGUCAUGUUGCUGAGGGGGAAGCUGGGGGACGAUGGAGUGGACAAACAUUUGGC